rnacentral:rRNA from 1 species
GACGAACGCUGGCGGCGUGCCUAAUACAUGCAAGUAGGACGCACAGUCUGUACCGUAGCUUGCUACACCAUAGGCUGUGAGUUGCGAACGGGUGAGUAACGCGUAGGUAACCUGCCUAUUAGAGGGGGAUAACUAUUGGAAACGAUAGCUAAUACCGCAUAACAGUAUGUAACACAUGUUAGAUGCUUGAAAGAUGCAAUUGCAUCGCUAGUAGAUGGACCUGCGUUGUAUUAGCUAGUAGGUAGGGUAAUGGCCUACCUAGGCGACGAUACAUAGCCGACCUGAGAGGGGGAUCGGCCACACUGGGACUGAGACACGGCCCAGACUCCUACGGGAGGCAGCAGUAGGGAAUCUUCGGCAAUGGGGGGAACCCUGACCGAGCAACGCCGCGUGAGUGAAGAAGGUUUUCGGAUCGUAAAGCUCUGUUGUUAAGGAAGAACGAGUGUGAGAAUGGAAAGUUCAUACUGUGACGGUACUUAACCAGAAAGGGACGGCUAACUACGUG